rnacentral:piRNA from 1 species
UGCUCACAGUGUCACAAUGUGUGUCUAGGC